rnacentral:rRNA from 1 species
UACGGAGGUGGCAAGCGUUGUUCGGAAUUACUGGGCGUAAAGGGCGCGUAGGCGGCUUGGCAAGUCAGAUGUGAAAGCCCCGGGCUUAACUCGGGAAUUGCAUCUGAAACUGCUUAGCUUGAGUUCUGGAGGGGGUAGUGGAAUUCCCAGUGUAGCGGUGAAAUGCGUAGAUAUUGGGAGGAACACCAGCGGCGAAGGCGGCUACCUGGACAGUAACUGACGCUGAUGCGCGAAAGCUAGGGGAGCGAACGGG